rnacentral:rRNA from 1 species
GAUGAACGCUGGCGGCGUGCCUAAUACAUGCAAGUCGAGCGAACAGACGAGGAGCUUGCUCCUCUGACGUUAGCGGCGGACGGGUGAGUAACACGUGGAUAACCUACCUAUAAGACUGGGAUAACUUCGGGAAACCGGAGCUAAUACCGGAUAAUAUAUUGAACCGCAUUGUUCAAUAGUGAAAGACGGUUUUGCUUUCACUUAUAGAUUGAUCCGCGCCGCAUUAGCUAGUUGGUAAGGUAACGGCUUACCAAGGCGACGAUGCGAAGCCGACCUGAGAGGGAGAUCGGCCACACUGGAACUGAGACACGGCCCAGACUCCGACGGGAGGCAGCAGUAGGGAAUCUUACGCAAUGGGCGAAAGCGUGACGGAGCAACGCCGCGUGAGUGAUGAAGGUCUUCGGAUCGUAAAACUCUGUUAUUAGGGAAGAACAAAUGUGUAAGUAACUAUGCACGUCUUGACGGUACCUAAUCAGAAAGCCACGGCUAACUACGUG